GACGAACGCUGGCGGCGUGCUUAACACAUGCAAGUUGAACGGAGGCUUUGUUUUCGGACGAAGCCUUAGUAGCGGACGGGUGAGUAACGCGUGAGCAACCUGCCUUUGUGAGGGGGAUAACAGCUGGAAACGGCUGCUAAUACCGCAUGAGACCACGACCCCGCAUGGGGACGAGGUAAAAGAGGAAACUCGCACAGAGAUGGGCUCGCGUCCCAUUAGCUAGUUGGUGAGGUAACGGCUCACCAAGGCGACGAUGGGUAGCCGACCUGAGAGGGUGAUCGGCCACACUGGAACUGAGACACGGUCCAGACUCCUACGGGAGGCAGCAGUGGGGAAUAUUGGGCAAUGGGCGAAAGCCUGACCCAGCAACGCCGCGUGAGGGAAGAAGGUCUUCGGAUUGUAAACCUCUGUCCUUGGGGACGAAGGACGUGACGGUACCCAAGGAGGAAGCUCCGGCUAACUACGUGCCAGCAGCCGCGGUAAAAGUCUCUAU
rnacentral:rRNA from 1 species